GUCAUGCAACUCCACACUGAAAACCACGAUGACACAGAACAUUUUCUGUACAUUUUCAUGGUGGCACAUCCAGUGUGAUGAUAUGUGCUUUAAGAGAAGAGGCCUCACUGAGGAUUAAAGCUCUUGGGACAUUCAAAGCUGCUGUAAAUGCAUAAGAAAGAAGUGAGAAAAAGGAUCAACUCCCAGGUGAGCCCGGGCACAGCCAGGUGUGGAGGAGGGGCCAUCACCACCCUCUUGGAAGGCAGUCAGGAGUGCCUGCUGCAGGACACUGGGGCCUCUUUUUGCCUCAUCAAAGAAGCUCUGUGGAAACAUUUUUUGGGGAGCCAUGUCCAGUGUUGGAGGCCACAGCUGGAGACAAGACAGCAGAAGUGAUGCACAUUCUGCCCAACAGGACCAGGGUGAGGAAG